AAAACAUUCUGGCGUCAAUAAGAAUGAUGAAGCUUCGGUGUAAUUGAAAUCAGGAAACAAGCAGAGCUAGGGAAUAUGACAAGCCCGGAUCUGAUAGGUUUGCUUCUGUAUGGUUGCAAUCGGUGGAUGAAGAUGCAAAUCAGAUGAAGAUGGAGUGAUGGAGAUGACAAGCAAAACUUUGCAGAUCUGAGUUUUUAUGGUUGUAAACCCUAUAUUGUUUUACGAAUCUUCUAAUUUGUUUUCGAAAUUUUAGAUUUUUUUAAGUUGUUUAGUGGAUGAUUGUGGCAUUAGGUUCACUUGAGGUGUGAUUUCUUGUAUGUUGAAGGAUAUGAUGAUCCAGCUCUCCGCUUUAGCAGGUCUGUUAACUUCAUAUGCCCAUCUUUAUUUGUCAUUAGUUUCGUUUUGAAUUGAUUAAUUGUUGAUUUCAGGGUGCACGUUAAGAUGACGUGCAAUGCUCUUGAUGAAGGAUAUAGUUAGGGCCACUAUUGGUGUAGUUUUCUACCCUAAGUUUCAAGCGGGUUCUA